CUGACUCCCCAAUUUUAUCUCCACUAUUCCCAACCUACCCCCUCAACACUGUUUGUAUCCUAGAACUGUGUUUGUAUUCUGCUGCUUUGAUUAUUGUGAGCCUGUGUACCCCUAUUAUCCCU